rnacentral:rRNA from 1 species
UACAGAGGGGGCUAGCGUUGUUCGGAAUUACUGGGCGUAAAGGGUGUGUAGGCGGCUUACCAAGUCAGGUGUGAAAUCCCGGGGCUUAACCUCGGAAUUGCACUUGAAACUAGUAGGCUUGAGGACGAGAGAGGAUAGUGGAAUUCCUAGUGUAGGAGUGAAAUCCGUAGAUAUUAGGAGGAACACCAGUGGCGAAGGCGGCUAUCUGGCUCGUAUCUGACGCUGAGACACGAAAGCGUGGGGAUCAAACAGG